AAUGUUUUAUCAUGAUAUAGCAAGGGUGAGCAUGAAAGUUUUCCAGCAAGUUUAAAUACAACAAUAUAAGGAUAUAUCAUGAUUGAAGAGUAUGAAUAAUAAGCUGGCUAUAAUUCAUCAAUAUAAUUGAGAACUAGCAGGAAUAAACUUUUGACUGAACAAGUUUUAAACAUGAACAUACAUUUCUGGACAAACCGGUAAUGAAGGUGAUCAGCCUUUCAUACCUGACUUAUACAUGCAAGAUGUACAGAGUACAAUUUUCAUGGCAAUCAGCAAUGAUUUAACCAUAAGCUUGAAUAAAACACUCUUAAUAGAGUUAAGUAAAUACAAACUUGCCUGAACCGUUGAUUACCGCAACGCAAUUUAUAAUGCUUUAUCCGAAGACCUAAUAUUAAUAAUAUAGAUCUCCAAUAUUAGAAUAAUAUCAUCACAGUAUAAUACUGUUAUAUUUAUAUACACAGAAUAACCUAAACACAUAACACAUAACCCUAUCAGUCUAUACAGCACACAAGACUUCGUAUUAGGUCCAACUAUU
rnacentral:lncRNA from 1 species